rnacentral:rRNA from 1 species
UGGGGGAUAUUGCGCAAUGGGGGCAACCCUGACGCAGCAACGCCGCGUGAAGGAUGAAGGUUUUCGGAUUGUAAACUUCUUUUAUUAAGGACGAAAAAUGACGGUACUUAAUGAAUAAGCCCCGGCUAA